GAUGAACGCUGGCGGCGUGCUUAAUACAUGCAAGUCGAGCGAACAGACGAGGAGCUUGCUCCUUUGACGUUAGCGGCGGACGGGUGAGUAACACGUGGGUAACCUACCUAUAAGACUGGGAUAACUUCGGGAAACCGGAGCUAAUACCGGAUAAUAUUUCGAACCGCAUGGUUCGAUAGUGAAAGAUGGCUCUGCUAUCACUUAUAGAUGGACCUGCGCCGUAUUAGCUAGUUGGUAAGGUAACGGCUUACCAAGGCAACGAUACGUAGCCGACCUGAGAGGGUGAUCGGCCACACUGGAACUGAGACACGGUCCAGACUCCUACGGGAGGCAGCAGUAGGGAAUCUUCCGCAAUGGGCGAAAGCCUGACGGAGCAACGCCGCGUGAGUGAUGAAGGUCUUCGGAUCGUAAAACUCUGUUAUUAGGGAAGAACAAACGUGUAAGUAACUGUGCACGUCUUGACGGUACCUAAUCAGAAAGCCACGGCUAACUACGUG
rnacentral:rRNA from 1 species